GAUGAAAGAACGUAGCGAAAUGCGAUAAGUAAUGUGAAUUGCAGAAUUCAGUGAAUCAUCGAAUCUUUGAACGCACAUUGCGCCCCUUGGUAUUCCGAGGGGCAUGCCUGUUCGAGCGUCAUUAUAACCCCUCAAGCUUAGCUUGGUGUUGGGGCCUGCUGUAAUAGAGCAGCCCUUAAAAUCAGUGGCGGUGCCAUUAGGCUCUAAGCGUAGUAAUUCUUCUCGCUAUAGGGUUCUGGUGGAUGCUUGCCAUUAACCUCUAAUUUUCUAUGGUUGACCUCGGAUCAGGUAGGGAUACCCGCUGAACUUAAGCAUAUCAAUAAGCGGAGGA
rnacentral:misc_RNA from 1 species